rnacentral:rRNA from 1 species
GACGAACGCUGGCGGCGUGCUUAACACAUGCAAGUCGAACGGAAAGGCCCUGCUUUUGUGGGGUGCUCGAGUGGCGAACGGGUGAGUAACACGUGAGUAACCUGCCCUUGACUUUGGGGUAACUUCAGGAAACUGGGGCUAAUACCGGAUAGGAGCUCCUGCUGCAUGGUGGGGGUUGGAAAGUUUCGGCGGUUGGGGAUGGACUCGCGGCUUAUCAGCUUGUUGGUGGGGUAGUGGCUUACCAAGGCUACCACGGGUAGCCGGCCUGAGAGAGUGAUCGGCCGCACUGGAACUGAGACACGGUCCAGACGCCUACGAGAGGCAGCAGUAGGGAAUCUGAGGCAAUGGGCGGAAGCCUGACGCAGCGAGGCCGAGUGGGUGAUGAAGGCCUUCGGAUCGUAAAGCCCUGUUAUUGGUGAAGAACAGCUGUGGCAUGAACCAUGGCGGUAGUGACGGUACCUAAUCAAAAAGCACCGGCUAACUACGUG